rnacentral:rRNA from 1 species
GCMUUSYUCCUACGGGAGGCAGCAGUGGGGAAUAUUGCACAWUGGGCGCAAGCCUGAUGCAGCGACGCCGCGUGGGGGAUGACGGCCUUCGGGUUGUAAACCUCUUUCGACAGGGACGAAGCUUUGGUGACGGUACCUGUAUAAGAAGCACCGGCUAACUACGKGSCAGCAGCCGCGGUAAUACGUAGGGUGCGAGCGUUGUCCGGAAUUACUGGGCSUAAAGAGCUCGUAGGUGGUUUGUCGCGUCGUCUGUGAAAUUCCGGGGCUUAACUUCGGGSGUGCAGGCGAUACGGGCAUAACUUGAGUGCUGUAGGGGAGACUGGAAUUCCUGGUGUAGCGGUGGAAUGCGCAKAUAUCAGGAGGAACACCGAUGGCGAAGGCGGGUCUCUGGGSAGUAACUGACGCUGAGGAGCGAAAGCAUGGGGAGCGAACAGGAUUAGAUACCCUGGUAGUCCAUGCCGUAAACGGUGGGCGCUAGGUGUAGGGGUCUUCCACGACUUCUGUGCCGUAGCUAACGCAUUAAGCGCCCCGCCUGGGGAGUACGGCCGCAAGGCUAAAACUCWWAGGAAUUGACGG